rnacentral:misc_RNA from 1 species
AACGCACAUUGCGCCCCUUGGUAUUCCAUGGGGCAUGCCUGUUCGAGCGUCAUUUGUACCCUCAAGCUUUGCUUGGUGUUGGGCGUUUUGUCUGUUUAUUCAGACUCGCCUUAAAGUAAUUGGCAGCCAGUGUUUUUGGUAGUAAGCGCAGCACAUUUUGCGUCUUAGUCUCUAAACAGUGGCAUCCAUGAAGCCUCUUUCUCACUUUUGACCUCGGAUCAGGUAGGGAUACCCGCUGAACUUAA